CAAUAGCGUAUAUUAAAGUUGUUGCGGUUAAAAAGCUCGUAGUUGGAUCUCUGUUAGAGACGGCCGGUCCGCCUUUUGGGCGUGUAUCUGGUUCGGCUUUGGCAUCCUCUUGGGGAACGUACUGCGCUUGAUUGCGUGGUGCGGAAUUCAAGACUUUUACUUUGAGGAAAUGAGAGUGUUUCAAGCAGGCGUCCGCCAUGAAUACGUUAGCAUGGAAUAAUAGUAUCGGACCUCGUCCCAAAGCUGUUGGUUCCUUGGGUCGAGGUAAAGGUGAAUAGGGAUUGUUGGGGGCAUUCGUAUUUAACUGUCAGAGGUGAAAUUCUUGGAUUUGUUGAAGACGAACUACUGCGAAAGCAUCUGCCAAAGAUGUUCUCAUUGAUCAAGAACGAAAGUUAGGUGAUCGAAGACGAUCAGAUACCAU
rnacentral:rRNA from 1 species